rnacentral:rRNA from 1 species
CAGUAGCCGCGGUAAUACGUAGGGUGCGAGCGUUAAUCGGAAUUACUGGGCGUAAAGCGGGCGCAGACGGUUACUUAAGCAGGAUGUGAAAUCCCCGGGCUCAACCUGGGAACUGCGUUCUGAACUGGGUGACUAGAGUGUGUCAGAGGGAGGUAGAAUUCCACGUGUAGCAGUGAAAUGCGUAGAGAUGUGGAGGAAUACCGAUGGCGAAGGCAGCCUCCUGGGAUAACACUGACGUUCAUGCCCGAAAGCGUGGGGAGCGAACAGGAUUAGAUACCCGAGUAGUCCCUGUCUCUUAUAC